rnacentral:rRNA from 1 species
ACCACCAGCCUCUCUUUUAAACUCUCCAAAGGUCAGAAACUAAGCAGGGUCGGGCCUGGUUAGUAUUUGGAUAGGAGACCACCUAGGAAGACCAGGUGCUGUAGGCA